UACGUAGGGUGCGAGCGUUGCCCGGAUUUAUUGGGCGUAAAGGGCGCGUAGGCGGCUCGGCACGUCCGUUGUGAAAUCGCCCGGCUCAACCGGGGGGGGUCGGGCGAGACUGUCGGGCUGGAGGCGGGUAGGGGGCAGCGGAAUUCCCGGUGUAGUGGUGGAAUGCGUAGAUAUCGGGAGGAACACCAGUGGCGAAGGCGGCUGCCUGGACCCGGCCUGACGCUGAGGCGCGAAAGCGUGGGGAGCGAUCCGG
rnacentral:rRNA from 1 species